UUUCCAUCAGUUUCUGCUUUCAACCUGGGAAACAGUUAAACAUGAAGCACUAUUUCUCCUCUGCAACCGUCCUAAAACCAGGAGUCUGAACAGAUUUUGUGUUUUUGGUGUCUGAGUUGCUGUGGGCUGAUAGCUGCAGUCUGGCAGCGAUGGGUUCCUUCAGGUGAGCUCUAAUUGUUGACAUGGAUGAGUUCUCCAGCCAUGAAGGUACACAGCUUUUCUGGUUAGUCUCACUUAUACCUGGACUCUUAUUUUCAUGUGUCUACCAGGAAGUGAUCACCCUGAAGAAACAUAUUUCAACCAAUUACAUUGGGUCUAAAGACACAGCUGUUGGAAACUGCACAACGUCCUUUGGCUCUAACUGUCACUGAUUGCUGUCUGUUCUCAUGUUUUUCCUUUUCAGCAUCUGCUGCUUGCAAUGUUCUGCGUCAGUUUGUGCUGUCAGCUCUCUUUGAUCCUUUGGAUCAAUACCUGGAGUUCAUUGAGCCCUAUGUGGGGUCUUCUCCUUCGGUCAGAACUGCUGCCACUCAGCUGAAGUUGUGUGCAGAGGAUCACUCAGAAGAGUUGAAGGAGGCAAAAGUAGAGUUGAUGGAUAACUUGCUAAAACACUGUGAAGAACAGGAGUGAUUCCAAGACCCUCCUUUGUGAUGACUCCAAAUGCUGACUGACCCUGAACUUCCACCUUCCCAUUUUUCUCCAUUUCUUGGACAUGAACUUUCACACGCUAACAGAAUAGAGCCAACUGUGUUAUCUAGGAUCUGCAACCCUAUCUUCAAACCAUUUAGGUUUCUCACAAGAAUAAAAUAAAAACAGUUACAGUC